rnacentral:rRNA from 1 species
GACGAACGCUGGCGGCGUGCUUAACACAUGCAAGUCGAACGGAAAGACCCUGCUUUUGUGGGGUGCUCGAGUGGCGAACGGGUGAGUAACACGUGAGUAACCUGCCCUUGACUUUGGGAUAACUUCAGGAAACUGGGGCUAAUACCGGAUAGGAGCUCCUGCUGCAUGGUGGGGGUUGGAAAGUUUCGGCGGUUGGGGAUGGACUCGCGGCUUAUCAGCUUGUUGGUGGGGUAGUGGCUUACCAAGGCUUUGACGGGUAGCCGGCCUGAGAGGGUGACCGGCCACAUUGGGACUGAGAUACGGCCCAGACUCCUACGGGAGGCAGCAGUGGGGAAUAUUGCACAAUGGGCGGAAGCCUGAGGCAGCAACGCCGCGUGCGGGAUGACGGCCUUCGGGUUGUAAACCGCUUUCGCCUGUGACGAAGCGUGAGUGACGGUAAUGGGUAAAGAAGCACCGGCUAACUACGU